AUUUCUUCCAGUAAUUUCUUUGCAACCACCUUAGCAGUCUCAUGCUAAGGUGGUUGCAAAGAAAUUACUGGAAGAAAU
rnacentral:miRNA from 1 species